UACGUAGGGGGCAAGCGUUGUCCGGAAUCAUUGGGCGUAAAGAGCGUGUAGGCGGCCCGGUAAGUCGGUUGUGAAAGUCGGGGGCUCAACCCUCGGAUGCCGAUCGAUACUGUCGGGCUAGAGUACGGAAGAGGCGAGUGGAAUUCCUGGUGUAGCGGUGAAAUGCGCAGAUAUCAGGAGGAACACCAAUGGAGAAGGCAGCUCGGUGGGACGGUACUGACGCUGAGGCGCGAAAGCGUGGGGAGAAAACAGG
rnacentral:rRNA from 1 species